rnacentral:rRNA from 1 species
GACGAACGCUGGCGGCGUGCCUAAUACAUGCAAGUCGAGCGCAGGAAAUCGACGGAACCCUUCGGGGGGAAGUCGACGGAAUGAGCGGCGGACGGGUGAGUAACACGUAAAGAACCUGCCCUCAGGUCUGGGAUAACCACGAGAAAUCGGGGCUAAUACCGGAUGGGUCAUCGGACCGCAUGGUCCGAGGAUGAAAGGCGCUUCGGCGUCGCCUGGGGAUGGCUUUGCGGUGCAUUAGCUAGUUGGUGGGGUAAUGGCCCACCAAGGCGACGAUGCAUAGCCGACCUGAGAGGGUGAUCGGCCACACUGGGACUGAGACACGGCCCAGACUCCUACGGGAGGCAGCAGUAGGGAAUCUUCCACAAUGGACGAAAGUCUGAUGGAGCAACGCCGCGUGAACGAUGAAGGCCUUCGGGUCGUAAAGUUCUGUCGUAAGGGAAGAACAAGUGCCGCAGGCAAUGGCGGCACCUUGACGGUACCUUGCGAGAAAGCCACGGCUAACUACGUGCCAGCCGCCGCAGAA